rnacentral:lncRNA from 1 species
AAAAAAGAAAAAAGAAAAAAGAAAAAAGAAAAAAUCAAUCAAAAAAUCAAAAAAUCAAAAAUCAAGUCAUUUAGGUUUCAACUCAUUAAGCCUGAACUACGAAAGUCCUGAUCUCCCCUCUUCAGUGGGAGUACGUAGGCAGCCAUUUAUGGUGCGGUUAAACCAAACAAAAACCCAAAAAACCCAAAUAAACACUUCUCAAACAAACACUUCUCAAACCAUUUAUCUCGUC